rnacentral:rRNA from 1 species
UACGAAGGGGGCUAGCGUUGCUCGGAAUCACUGGGCGUAAAGCGCACGUAGGCGGCUUCUUAAGUCAGGGGUGAAAUCCUGGAGCUCAACUCCAGAACUGCCUUUGAUACUGUUUGGCUUGAGACCGGUAGAGGUAAGUGGAACUGCGAGUGUAGAGGUGAAAUUCGUAGAUAUUCGCAAGAACACCAGUGGCGAAGGCGGCUCACUGGCCCGAUACUGACGCUGAGGCACGAAAGCGUGGGGAGCAAACAGGG